rnacentral:rRNA from 1 species
GACGAACGCUGGCGGCGUGCCUAAUACAUGCAAGUAGAACGCUGAAGGAGGAGCUUGCUCUUCUGGAUGAGUUGCGAACGGGUGAGUAACACGUAGGUAACCUGCCUGGUAGCGGGGGAUAACUAUUGGAAACGAUAGCUAAUACCGCAUAACAGUAGAUGUUGCAUGACAUUUACUUAAAAGGUGCAAUUGCAUCACUACCAGAUGGACCUGCGUUGUAUUAGCUAGUUGGUGGGGUAACGGCUCACCAAGGCGACGAUACAUAGCCGACCUGAGAGGGUGAUCGGCCACACUGGGACUGAGACACGGCCCAGACUCCUACGGGAGGCAGCAGUAGGGAAUCUUCGGCAAUGGACGGAAGUCUGACCGAGCAACGCCGCGUGAGUGAAGAAGGUUUUCGGAUCGUAAAGCUCUGUUGUAAGAGAAGAACGAGUGUGAGAGUGGAAAGUUCACACUGUGACGGUAUCUUACCAGAAAGGGACGGCUAACUACGUG